GGUGAAGGUGUGGGGGAAAGCUAGGAAUCGACAAAAAAAAACCGUCUUCUCUCGAUAUGACUCAUCUCUCUGCAUAGUCUUCUUCUCUUAACACAGGAGAAUCUUCUCUCUUCUCUCAUUUCGAAGACGACGAACAAAUCUCCAAGGAAGGCGUGAAGAGUAAAAGUAUAACUGUUACCUUCCUCAAUGCAUUAAUCUAAGAAGAAUCUGCUCCCUGUUUAGUCAAGCCUCCUCAUGAACUGAGCAGACCUCUGAUCCGACGUCGUACUCGAUCUCAAUCAAAAAUGUCGUCGUCGGAUUAACUCGGAUCCGUAAUAUUACCUCACUCGAAGGUAACAAUCUCGAACAAUCUCAGCUUAUAGA